GACGAACGUUGGCGGCGUGCUUAAUACAUGCAAGUCCACUGAAGCAGUGGUAGCAAUAUCGCUGUGGAGGUGGCGCACGGGUGAGUAACACGUAGGUAAUCUGCCUUCAGGUCUGGCAUAACUCCGGGAAACCGGGGCUAAUAGCAGAUGAUGCAGCGGCUCGACAUCGAGACAGUUGUCAAAGCUAUGGCGCCUGAAGAUGAGCCUGCGUCUGAUUAGCUAGUUGGCGGGGUAACGGCCCACCAAGGCAACGAUCAGUAGCUGGUCUGAGAGGAUGAUCAGCCACACUGGAACUGAGACACGGUCCAGACUCCUACGGGAGGCAGCAGUAAGGAAUAUUGCUCAAUGGGAGAAAUCCUGAAGCAGCAACGCCGCGUGAGGGACGAAGGGCUUUUGCUUGUAAACCUCUGUAGUGAGAGAAAAAAAUCCCAAUCUUUGGGACAUGAUGGUAGCUCAAAAGUAAGCCCCGGCUAACUACGUG
rnacentral:rRNA from 1 species